rnacentral:lncRNA from 1 species
GCGUCGUGGUGCCUUUCCAAUUUUCAACCAUGGUGACAACAUUAUAGAUAUAGAUUCAUGCAAACCUAUGACUAAAACCUUGAAUGAUGAAAUUAGAAUGUGACCAUGAUGUUUAAUUGUUGUACAAUUAUGUUUGCAUGUACCAUGCCUAAAAUAUGAUUGAUUUAAUGCUUAAAUGAAGGAAAAGUGCCUAACUAGCAUGUUGUCAUGAAAUCCCCAUGUAUGUAUGUAAUACCUCGCAAAAUUCUCUCCUAGUCUAAGCCUUAGAGCGUGUUCAGUGAAGCGAAAAUCCGGUCCUAAAAGUUUGAGAGUUGUCUUCCUAAGUGUGAAAUACUUUGAACCGUGUAGAAUUUUCCUAAUAUUGACUUUUUGUCAUGUAGAGCAUUGAAUAAGCUUUCUGUCGAUAUCAAAUUCAUCCAAAUCUGAUACGCAAAAAAAGAGUUAGAGCCAUUUUAGUGAGAUAGUGUGCCACCUGGAACUUUAGUGUGUUGUGGAGCCAGCCAAAUUGGCAAUCAUCAAAAUCUAGUUAGCCUCCACGAUUAUGGCACAUCGCGCCAAGGCUUAAUUUUUGAAUUUUCACUUUUCAGUGCACCAACCAGCGCGUCGUGGUGCCUUUCCACUUUUCAACCAAGGUGACAACAUGAUUGCCACUGCAUCGUGCCAGGGAGUUCAGUUUGGGAAAAUUUUACUGAAAUUAAAUGAUCCAUCCAGGGUUAAAAGGGUCAACUUGCCACCCCUAUUUAAGCCUUUAAGACGUGAUUUAGCCACUUUUCACUCAAAAUAAGCUCUCUUCUCUCAAAAACCUCUCAAGAACAAGUUACGAUUUUCAUAGAAGAUCCAGUUCCAAGAAAGUU